rnacentral:rRNA from 1 species
UACGGGGGGGGGCUAGCGUUGUUCGGAAUUACUGGGCGUAAAGGGCGCGUAGGCGGCCUACUAAGUCGGACGUGAAAUCCCUCGGCUCAACCGGGGAACUGCGUCCGAUACUGGUGGGCUCGAAUCCGGGAGAGGGAUGUGGAAUUCCAGGCGUAGCGGUGAAAUGCGUAGAUAUCUGGAGGAACACCGGUGGCGAAGGCGGCAUCCUGGACCGGUAUUGACGCUGAUGCGCGAAAGCCAGGGGAGCAAACGGG